rnacentral:rRNA from 1 species
UGACUGCGAGACUGACAAGUCGAGCAGGGACGAAAGUCGGGCUUAGUGAUCCGGUGGUUCCGCAUGGAAGGGCCAUCGCUCAACGGAUAAAAGCUACCCCGGGGAUAACAGGCUUAUCUCCCCCAAGAGUCCACAUCGACGGGGAGGUUUGGCACCUCGAUGUCGGCUCGUCGCAUCCUGGGGCUGUAGUCGGUCCCAAGGGUUGGGCUGUUCGCCCAUUAAAGCGGCACGCGAGCUGGGUUCAGAACGUCGUGA